UACGGGGGGGGCAAGCGUUGUUCGGAAUUACUGGGCGUAAAGGGCUCGUAGGUGGCCAACUAAGUCAGACGUGAAAUCCCUCAGCUUAACUGGGGAACUGCGUCUGAUACUGGAUGGCUUGGAUUCGGGAGAGGAAUGCGGAAUUCCAGGUGUAGCGGUGAAAUGCGUAGAUAUCUGGAGGAACACCGGUAGCGAAGGCGGCAUUCUGGACCGACAUUGACGCUGAGGAGCGAAAGCCAGGGGAGCAAACGGG
rnacentral:rRNA from 1 species